rnacentral:rRNA from 1 species
UACGAAGGGGGCGAGCGUUGUUCGGCUUUACUGGGCGUAAAGGGCGCGCAGGCGGCGAGUUUUGUCAGGCGUGAAAGCCCCGGGCUUAACCUGGGAAUGGCGCUUGGGACGGGUUCGCUAGAGAUCGGGAGAGGAGCGUGGAAUUCCCAGUGUAGAGGUGAAACUCGUAGAUAUUGGGAAGACCACCGGUGGCGAAGGCGGCGCUCUGGACCGAGACUGACGCUGAGGCGCGAAAGCGUGGGGAGCAAACAGG